rnacentral:siRNA from 1 species
AGCGUGGUCAAGGAUGGAAGGCUA